CAGCCGCCGCGGUAAUACGUAGGGUGCGAGCGUUAAUCGGAUUUACUGGGCGUAAAGCGUGCGCAGGCGGCCCGUUAAGACAGGUGUGAAAUCCCUGGGCUCAACCUAGGAAUUGCGCUUGUGACUGGCGGGCUCGAGUACGGUAGAGGGGGGUGGAAUUCCUGGUGUAGCAGUGAAAUGCGUAGAGAUCAGGAGGAACACCGAUGGCGAAGGCAGCCCCCUGGGCCUGUACUGACGCUCAUGCGCGAAAGCGUGGGGAGCAAACAGGAUUAGAUACCCUGGUAGUCCACGCCCUAAACGAUGGGUACUGGCCGUUUGGUGCGCGAUAGCGCUGAGUGGCGAAGCUAACGCAUUAAGUGCCCCGCCUGGGGAGUACGGCCGCAAGGUUGAAACUUAAAGGAAUUGGCGGG
rnacentral:rRNA from 1 species